CUACCACUAAGGUAAUCGGGCGGUUCAAGUGGAGCAUCCUCAUUUCGCAUAUGAUCUGUAUAUAAUUCUUCAAGUAAUUUACUCUUAUUGAUGCGUAUAUAAUUUUUAAGUAAUUUAUCCUUUUAGAUGAACUAUUUUACUGACCUUCACGAUCACAUAUUUCUGGAUUGUAUAGCCACAAAUUUGACUGACAAAGAAACGCUCGUUUUUAUGAAAAUUUUAUAUUCCAAAGAGGAAUGGUCCUUCAAACCGGAUUAGAACCAGUGACCUAGGGAUUAUUGCUGUCAACAACUACAGUCCCCCGCUCUACCAAUUGAGCUACCGAAGGAGAACUUGCACUUUAAAAAGCAUUAUAUCCGAUCAUUGUUUAAAAAGCAUUAUAUUCGAUCAUCAUUCACUCGAAUUUGUAUGUAUUCAGAAGAUGCUUAUUAUUCUUUUCAUCCAUGAUGUUCGAAAUUGGAACAAUACAACGGUGGGGAGUGUCCAAGCAUGCCACAUUUGGGGAAAUGAGUUCUGAAAAUGUGACAAGAAUGAUGAUGGAAAUGGCCUUUCACUGUAUUUCUAUCAUAUCUAACGCCUUAUAUUUCCGUCUAAAUUGCCGCCGUUUGAAUCCUGCAGUUAGUUCGUAUAGUGUUGUAAUAAUGUCAGGAAUUUUUGAAUUUCUCACUUGUUUUGAGAUGCCCAAAAAUCCUUAUAUUUUUCCAUAAACCUUACCAAUGCACUUGCUGUUUGAGUAUGACAACUGGACUCCGUAGCUCAGUUGGUUAGAGCGAUGCACUGGAUAUGCAGGGCCACAGGUUCGAUUUGUGCAAGAGGGCCUUUAGUUGAAUUUUUCGCAGCUGUUUCUGAUAAUUAAGGUCCAAAUAAAUGUAUAAAAUUUACACUCCAAUUUCCAUCUACAGAAC